rnacentral:lncRNA from 1 species
CAGGGACCCCACUUUGAGAACUGCUGACUAGAAAACAUGUCACCACUUUUAGGGGUCUGUCCCCUCAGCUGUCACCCUCCUCUCUCCGAUUGCCAGGGCCAUGCCGUGGGAGCCGGGGUCCCAGUUCUGUGUGAGCAACUGUUGGGUUGAGCUUUAUUGCUCUUAUCCAUCCUGAUUUAUCAGACCCUUUCGAAAAGGAAGUUCGUGGGUGCCAACGCACCUGUGUGGGCCCUGCAUUCCAGGAGCUGUUGUCACGUCCUCUCUCCCCUCCCCCGGGUGUGGCAUCUCUCUUUACUUGGACUUUCCUUUCUAGAAGGGAGGGCCAGGCCAGAGCUUCCUGGAUCUCCUAAGUGGAAUUUGCUCUGAGGCCUGCGUCACAAGUGCGCCUGGGUUGUGUAAGGCAGGAAUGUGGAAAAUAGUUAGAAUUUGAUAAAAGCAUUGUGGAGGAGGGGCACCCUCUCACUCCGAGGGCUGUGCCGGCCACAAGCUUGUUCGCAGCGCCUGAAUUUCAGCCUUUCUGGAGAAGCAUGAAGCCCAGAGAAACAGCACAGAGAAGAGUUUAUAUUCCUGUUUCUUCAGUUUGAAGACUGAACCCUAAUCUCAUUUCUCUCCAUCAUGCCUCCCCACCCCCAAAUCCUCAAGCUAAAGCUGAUCAAGAUCUACGUGUGGAAUGAAAAGCUAGUCCCGUGCCUGGGAGAAUUCAUACUCAGUGAGUUAGGGAGAUAAGCGAGCCCCAGCACAUAGCUGUGUAUCCUACUUGUAAGCCAUUCUAGUUCUUCAGUGAGAGAUGCUGCCACAGCAUGGCUUGAUGAGAGGUGCCAUGUCCCCGCCCAGGAUCCGAACCAGCAAACCCUAGGCCACCAAAGCGGAGCGCGCGAACUCAACCACGCGGCCACCGGGCGGCCCCAUAGGCAGAAACUGCCAUUGUAAUCCAACAAGUUAAUGAGGAGCCCGAGAUACUGAAAAAUCAACAGUAAGAAGAAAAAUAUAGCAACGAUUCUAUACAUUCUGUACUCUGUUAGUGGAGCAAUGAUCACAAAUAUAAACCUGAAGUGAUCUCUUCUCACUUCUUAGAAACAAACACAAAAAUUGAG